rnacentral:rRNA from 1 species
CAAUGGCCGGUACAGAGGGCAGCGACCUGGUGACAGGUAGCGAAUACUCCAACAACCGGUCUCAGUUCGGAUCGGAGUCUGCAACUCGACUCCGUGAAGCUGGAUUCGCUAGUAAUCGGAUAUCAGCAAUGAUCCGGUGAAUACGUUCCCGGGCCUU